rnacentral:rRNA from 1 species
UUANNCGGCUAGCUCCGAAGGUUACUCCACCGGCUUUGGGUGUUACAAACUCUCAUGGUGUGACGGGCGGUGUGUACAAGGCCCGGGAACGUAUUCACCGCGGCAUGCUGAUCCGCGAUUACUAGCGAUUCCAACUUCGUGCAGGCGAGUUGCAGCCUGCAGUCCGAACUGAGAACGGUUUUAAGAGAUUAGCUAAACCUCGCGGUCUCGCAACUCGUUGUACCGUCCAUUGUAGCACGUGUGUAGCCCAGGUCAUAAGGGGCAUGAUGAUUUGACGUCGUCCCCACCUUCCUCCGGUUUGUCACCGGCAGUCUCACUAGAGUGCCCAACUUAAUGCUGGCAACUAAUAAUAAGGGUUGCGCUCGUUGCGGGACUUAACCCAACAUCUCACGACACGAGCUGACGACAACCAUGCACCACCUGUCAUUCUGUCCCCGAAGGGAACGUCUAAUCUCUUAGAUUGGCAGAAGAUGUCAAGACCUGGUAAGGUUCUUCGCGUAGCUUCGAAUUAAACCACAUGCUCCACCGCUUGUGCGGGCCCCCGUCAAUUCUUUUGAGUUUCAACCUUGCGGUCGUACUCCCCAGGCGGAAUGCUUAAUGCGUUAGCUGCAGCACUGAAGGGCGGAAACCCUCCAACACUUAGCAUUCAUCGUUUACGGCAUGGACUACCAGGGUAUCUAAUCCUGUUCGCUACCCAUGCUUUCGAGCCUCAGCGUCAGUUACAGACCAGACAGCCGCCUUCGCCACUGGUGUUCUUCCAUAUAUCUACGCAUUUCACCGCUACACAUGGAGUUCCACUGUCCUCUUCUGCACUCAAGUCUUCCAGUUUCCAAUGCACUUCUUCGGUUAAGCCGAAGGCUUUCACAUUAGACUUAAAAGACCGCCUGCGCUCGCUUUACGCCCAAUAAAUCCGGAUAACGCUUGCCACCUACGUAUUACCGCGGCUGCUGGCACGUAGUUAGCCGUGGCUUUCUGGUUGGAUACCGUCACUGCAUGAGCAGUUACUCUCACACACGUUCUUCUCCAACAACAGAGUUUUACGACCCUAAAGCCUUCAUCACUCACGCGGCGUUGCUCCAUCAGACUUUCGUCCAUUNNGG